rnacentral:rRNA from 1 species
CCGUACUUUCGGCGGGCGGAGCGCCACGACCGGUUCGUCGGCGGCGAGAAACUCCCGGGCAAGGUGACCUUCGUCUCGGCGCAGGAGCAUACAGGCCCGGUGAGCGUCGGCCCGUCGGUGGACCGAGGAAGACCGUCGCGGAGCGGCGUCGACCGUUCGUCGUGUGUUGGCGUUCGACUCGGGGGGACUGGUUCCAGUGCCCUCGGACCGCGCCGGCGCAGCGGCGGGCGCGCACGGCGUCGCGCCUGGGGUCGGUGGCGAAACGGCCGGCAACCUGUCCGACCCGUCUUGAAACACGGACCAAGGAGUCUAACAUGUGCGCGAGUCGUUGGGCGCUACGAAACCCGAAGGCGCAAUGAAAGUGAAGGCCCGGUCUCCGGCCGGCCUGGGUGGGAUCCCGGCGGUCUCGGCCGUCGGGCGCACCACCGGCCCGUCUCGUUCGUUACGUCGAGGAGGCGGAGCAAGAGCGUACACGUUGGGACCCGAAAGAUGGUGAACUAUGCCCGAGUAGGACGAAGCCAGAGGAAACUCUGGUGGAGGUCCGCAGCGAUUCUGACGUGCAAAUCGAUCGUCAAACUUGGGUAUAGGGGCGAAAGACUAAUCGAACCAUAUAGUAGCUGGUUNCUGUCGAAGUUUCCCUCAGGAUAGCUGGCGCUCGUCGUGAGCAGUUUUAUCCGGUAAAGCGAAUGACUGGAGGCCUUGGG